rnacentral:miRNA from 1 species
AUUGUGUGACCUACUUAAAU